rnacentral:tRNA from 2 species
AGAAUUGUAGCUCAGUUGGAAGAGCGGAGGAAUCCAGAUCCUUUGGUCAAAGGUUCAAACCUUUUCAAUUCCC